CAAACGGGUGAGUAACACGUGGGAAUCUACCCAUCAGUACGGAAUAACAUUUGGGAACAAAUGCUAAUACCGUAUAUUCUCUUCGGAGGAAAGAUUUAUCGCUGAUGGAUGGGCCCGCGCCUGAUUAGGUAGUUGGUGGGGUAAUGGCCUACCAAGCCGACGAUCAGUAGCUGGUCUGAGAGGAUGAUCAGCCACACUGGAACUGAGACACGGUCCAG
rnacentral:rRNA from 1 species